rnacentral:rRNA from 1 species
GGUUAAGCGACUAAGCGUACACGGUGGAUGCCCUGGCAGUCAGAGGCGAUGAAGGACGUGCUAAUCUGCGAUAAGCGUCGGUAAGGUGAUAUGAACCGUUAUAACCGGCGAUUUCCGAAUGGGGAAACCCAGUGUGUUUCGACACACUAUCAUUAACUGAAUCCAUAGGUUAAUGAGGCGAACCGGGGGAACUGAAACAUCUAAGUACCCCGAGGAAAAGAAAUCAACCGAGAUUCCCCCAGUAGCGGCGAGCGAACGGGGAGCAGCCCAGAGCCUGAAUCAGUGUGUGUGUUAGUGGAAGCGUCUGGAAAGGCGCGCGAUACAGGGUGACAGCCCCGUACACAAAAAUGCACAUGCUGUGAGCUCGAUGAGUAGGGCGGGACACGUGGUAUCCUGUCUGAAUAUGGGGGGACCAUCCUCCAAGGCUAAAUACUCCUGACUGACCGAUAGUGAACCAGUACCGUGAGGGAAAGGCGAAAAGAACCCCGGCGAGGGGAGUGAAAAAGAACCUGAAACCGUGUACGUACAAGCAGUGGGAGCACGCUUAGGCGUGUGACUGCGUACCUUUUGUAUAAUGGGUCAGCGACUUAUAUUCUGUAGCAAGGUUAACCGAAUAGGGGAGCCGAAGGGAAACCGAGUCUUAACUGGGCGUUAAGUUGCAGGGUAUAGACCCGAAACCCGGUGAUCUAGCCAUGGGCAGGUUGAAGGUUGGGUAACACUAACUGGAGGACCGAACCGACUAAUGUUGAAAAAUUAGCGGAUGACUUGUGGCUGGGGGUGAAAGGCCAAUCAAACCGGGAGAUAGCUGGUUCUCCCCGAAAGCUAUUUAGGUAGCGCCUCGUGAAUUCAUCUCCGGGGGUAGAGCACUGUUUCGGCAAGGGGGUCAUCCCGACUUACCAACCCGAUGCAAACUGCGAAUACCGGAGAAUGUUAUCACGGGAGACACACGGCGGGUGCUAACGUCCGUCGUGAAGAGGGAAACAACCCAGACCGCCAGCUAAGGUCCCAAAGUCAUGGUUAAGUGGGAAACGAUGUGGGAAGGCCCAGACAGCCAGGAUGUUGGCUUAGAAGCAGCCAUCAUUUAAAGAAAGCGUAAUAGCUCACUGGUCGAGUCGGCCUGCGCGGAAGAUGUAACGGGGCUAAACCAUGCACCGAAGCUGCGGCAGCGACGCUUAUGCGUUGUUGGGUAGGGGAGCGUUCUGUAAGCCUGUGAAGGUGUGCUGUGAGGCAUGCUGGAGGUAUCAGAAGUGCGAAUGCUGACAUAAGUAACGAUAAAGCGGGUGAAAAGCCCGCUCGCCGGAAGACCAAGGGUUCCUGUCCAACGUUAAUCGGGGCAGGGUGAGUCGACCCCUAAGGCGAGGCCGAAAGGCGUAGUCGAUGGGAAACAGGUUAAUAUUCCUGUACUUGGUGUUACUGCGAAGGGGGGACGGAGAAGGCUAUGUUGGCCGGGCGACGGUUGUCCCGGUUUAAGCGUGUAGGCUGGUUUUCCAGGCAAAUCCGGAAAAUCAAGGCUGAGGCGUGAUGACGAGGCACUACGGUGCUGAAGCAACAAAUGCCCUGCUUCCAGGAAAAGCCUCUAAGCAUCAGGUAACAUCAAAUCGUACCCCAAACCGACACAGGUGGUCAGGUAGAGAAUACCAAGGCGCUUGAGAGAACUCGGGUGAAGGAACUAGGCAAAAUGGUGCCGUAACUUCGGGAGAAGGCACGCUGAUAUGUAGGUGAAGUCCCUCGCGGAUGGAGCUGAAAUCAGUCGAAGAUACCAGCUGGCUGCAACUGUUUAUUAAAAACACAGCACUGUGCAAACACGAAAGUGGACGUAUACGGUGUGACGCCUGCCCGGUGCCGGAAGGUUAAUUGAUGGGGUUAGCGGUAACGCGAAGCUCUUGAUCGAAGCCCCGGUAAACGGCGGCCGUAACUAUAACGGUCCUAAGGUAGCGAAAUUCCUUGUCGGGUAAGUUCCGACCUGCACGAAUGGCGUAAUGAUGGCCAGGCUGUCUCCACCCGAGACUCAGUGAAAUUGAACUCGCUGUGAAGAUGCAGUGUACCCGCGGCAAGACGGAAAGACCCCGUGAACCUUUACUAUAGCUUGACACUGAACAUUGAGCCUUGAUGUGUAGGAUAGGUGGGAGGCUUUGAAGUGUGGACGCCAGUCUGCAUGGAGCCGACCUUGAAAUACCACCCUUUAAUGUUUGAUGUUCUAACGUGGACCCGUAAUCCGGGUUGCGGACAGUGUCUGGUGGGUAGUUUGACUGGGGCGGUCUCCUCCUAAAGAGUAACGGAGGAGCACGAAGGUUGGCUAAUCCUGGUCGGACAUCAGGAGGUUAGUGCAAUGGCAUAAGCCAGCUUGACUGCGAGCGUGACGGCGCGAGCAGGUGCGAAAGCAGGUCAUAGUGAUCCGGUGGUUCUGAAUGGAAGGGCCAUCGCUCAACGGAUAAAAGGUACUCCGGGGAUAACAGGCUGAUACCGCCCAAGAGUUCAUAUCGACGGCGGUGUUUGGCACCUCGAUGUCGGCUCAUCACAUCCUGGGGCUGAAGUAGGUCCCAAGGGUAUGGCUGUUCGCCAUUUAAAGUGGUACGCGAGCUGGGUUUAGAACGUCGUGAGACAGUUCGGUCCCUAUCUGCCGUGGGCGCUGGAGAACUGAGGGGGGCUGCUCCUAGUACGAGAGGACCGGAGUGGACGCAUCACUGGUGUUCGGGUUGUCAUGCCAAUGGCACUGCCCGGUAGCUAAAUGCGGAAGAGAUAAGUGCUGAAAGCAUCUAAGCACGAAACUUGCCCCGAGAUGAGUUCUCCCUGACUCCUUGAGAGUCCUGAAGGAACGUUGAAGACGACGACGUUGAUAGGCCGGGUGUGUAAGCGCAGCGAUGCGUUGAGCUAACCGGUACUAAUGAACCGUGAGGCUUAACCUU